rnacentral:rRNA from 1 species
CAUUGUCGAGACCGAAAAGAGACUGAGCCAUUUUGAAAACCUGUGAACUAUCUCCUUGGUGCCGGCGAAAGCUAUCGCCAAGCACUCGUCCUCCACCGCCGUCCCUCCUUUGAUGGAUCGACAGUUGCAGCGGGGUGGACGAGAAACAAAACCGGCACAGUUCUGUGCCAAGGUACAUGUAUAAUGCUAGCGUCGCCUGCGUGAUGCCCGGCCUUGUUUGGCUUGGCGGUGCGUCGAUGUCGCUUCUUGCAGAUCGUAUGACUCUCGGCAAUGGAUAUCUUGGCUCUUGCAUCGAUGAAGAGCGCAGCGAAAUGCGAUAUGUGGUGCGAAUUGCAGAAUCCCGUGAACCAUCGAGUUUUUGAACGCAAGUUGCGCCUGAGGCCAGCUGGUUGAGGGCACGUCCGCUUGGGCGUCAUGCAUUGUGUCGCUCCGCCUCUUGCCAUCCGCAUCUUCGAUGCGGUGGCGGUUGCUUGGAUGUGGAGAUUGGCCCGUCGUGCGUAACUACGCGGCGGGUUGAAGAGCAGGUUGCUUUCCUCAUGGAAAUGAUCGGUAAGGGGUGGAUGGAAGCCGCGAUUCGGUGUACAUUUGACACUACCGCAUCUAUGGCAUCGUGGAGGGCAUCGUUAACAUCCGAACAGGGAGGCCUCGAGUUUGAGCGUAGCUGGAUCCGCCUCUAAAUGCGACCCCAAGAUGGGUGGGAU